AUUGAACGCUGGCGGCAGGCUUAACACAUGCAAGUCGAGCGCGCGGCGGACGGGUGAGUAAUUUCUGGGAAACUGCCUGAUGGAGGGGGAUCACUACUGGAAACGGUAGCUAAUACCGCAUACCAUCAGAUGUGCCCAUAUGGGAUUAGAUAGUAGGUGGGGUAAUGGCUCACCUAGGCGACGAUCCCUAGCUGGUCUGAGAGGAUGAACAGCCACACUGGAACGCAGACACGGGCCAGACGCCUACGGGAGGUAGAAGUGGGGAAUAUUGCCCAAUGGGCGCAAGCCUGAUGCAGCCAUGCCGCGUGUGUGAAGAAGGCCUUCGGGUUGUCAAGCACUUUCAGCGAGGAGGCGUUACUCGCAGAAGAAGCACCGGCUAACUCCGUGCCAGCAGCCGCGGUAAUAC
rnacentral:rRNA from 1 species